GUGAGGAAUUUUCCGCAAUGGGCGAAAGCCUGACGGAGCAAUGCCGCGUGAAGGAUGAAGGCCUAUGGGUUGUAAACUUCUUUUCUCAGAAAAGAAUUAUGACGGUAUCUGAGGAAUAAGCAUCGGCUAACUCUGUGCCAGCAGCCGCGGUAAGACAGAGGAUGCAAGCGUUAUCCGGAAUGAUUGGGCGUAAAGCGUCUGUAGGUUGUUUAAAAAGUAUUCUGUCAAAGAUUAGGGCUUAACCCUAGAUAGGCAGAAUAAACUUUUAAGCUAGAGUUUGGUAGAGGCAGAGGGAAUGCCCGGUGGAGCGGUGAAAUGCGUAGAUAUCGGGAGGAACACCAAAGGCGAAGGCACUCUGCUGGGCCAAUACUAACACUGAGAGACGAAAGCGAGGGGAGCAAAUGGGAUUAGAAACCCGUGUAGUCC
rnacentral:rRNA from 1 species